rnacentral:rRNA from 1 species
UACGUAGGGUGCAAGCGUUGUCCGGAAUUAUUGGGCGUAAAGCGCACGUAGGCGGUUUGUUAUGUCGGAUGUGAAAGCCCUUGGCUCAACUGAGGAAGUGCAUCCGAAACUGGCAAGCUAGAGUAUGUAAGAGGGUCGCGGAAUUCCCGGUGUAGAGGUGAAAUUCGUAGAUAUCGGGAGGAACACCGGUGGCGAAGGCGGCGACCUGGGACGGUACUGACGCUGAGACGCGAAAGCGUGGGGAGCGAACAGG